CUCCGUGUAAUGUACCUUUGGGACCUGUGUGCUGUGUCAGCUUCCUUUUCUAGCCACUGAAGAGCAGAUUCUUGUUUAUUGGCACAGUUGUCACCAUGUAGUUGGUAUCAUAUUCUAAUUUGCACAGUAACCUUC
ensembl:snoRNA